rnacentral:rRNA from 1 species
UGGAGCAAAACUCAAAAACUUAGUCUCAGUUCGGAUUGUAGGCUGAAACUCGCCUACAUGAAGCUGGAAUCGCUAGUAAUCGCGAAUCAGAAUGUCGCGGUGAAUACGUUCCCGGGUCUUGUACACACCGCCCGUCACACCAUGGGAGUCGGAAAUGCCCGAAGUCAGUGACCUAACCGAGAGGAAGGAGCUGCCGAAGGUGGAGCCGGUAACUGGGGUGAAGUCGUAACAAGGUACC